GCCGCUGUGGCUUAGCGGUAUAGCGGCUGAUUCGUAAUCAGCAGGUCGGGGGUUCGAUUCCCCCCAGCGGCU
rnacentral:tRNA from 4 species